rnacentral:rRNA from 1 species
CGGUAAUUCCAGCUCCAAUAGCGUAUACUAAAGUUGUUGCAGUUAAAAAGCUCGUAGUUGGAUUUCUGCGGGGACGGAGCGGCCGGACGCAACUUGCGUCUCGAGCUAGCGCUUUCCCCGCAUCCUGCCGCGAACCGUGCUACCAUUAGCUUGGUGGCGCUGGGGAUCGGCUCGAUUACUUUGAGAAAAAUAGAGUGUUCAAAGCAGGCCACACGCCUUGAAUAAGUUAGCAUGGAAUAAUGACUAAGGACUUCGGUUCUAUUUUGUUGGUGUUCGGGACUGAAGUAAUGAUUGAUAGGGACAGUUGGGGCGGUCUGUAUUCCAAAGCGAGAGGUGAAAUUCUUAGACCUUCGGAAGACAAACAGCUGCGAAAGCGUUCCGCAAGGAUGUUCCCUUUGAUCAAGAACGAAAGUUGGGGGAUCGAAGACGAUCAGAUACCGUCGUAGUCUCAACUAUAAACUAUACCAGCUAGGGAUCGGUCAACGUUUAAUCAUUCGACUUGAUCGGCACCUUAUGAGAAAUCAAAGCAUCUGGGUUCCGGGGGGAGUAUGGUCGCAAGGCUGAAACUUAAAGGAAUUGACGGAAGGGCACCACCAGCCGUGGAGCCUGUGGCUUAAUUUGACUCAACACGGGAAAACUUACCAGGUCCAGACAUAGUAAGGAUUGACAGAUUGAUAGCUCUUUCUUGAUUCUGUGGGUGGUGGUGCAUGGCCGUUCUUAGUUGGUGGAGUGAUUUGUCUGGUUAAUUCCGUUAACGAACGAGACCCCAGCCUGCUAAAUAGCGCGGUUGAGCUUUGCUCGAUGCGAGCUUCUUAGAGGGACUAUGAUGCGCGAUAGCACAUGGAAGUUUGGGGCAAUAACAGGUCUGUGAUGCCCUUAGAUGUUCUGGGCCGCACACGGGCUACACUGGCGCCUGCAACGAGCAUAUCAGCUGGCCCGAGAGGGUCUUGGCUAAUCUUUUGAACCGGCGCCGUGCUUGGGAUUGACCAUUGCAAUUGUUGGUCAUGCAACGAGGAAUGCCUUGUAAACGCGAGUCAUCAGCUCGCAUUGAAUACGUCCCUGCCCUUUGUACACACCGCCC